AGCUCAUUGCUGAUCCUUUCUACUCCUUGAUGUCCCUUCCUCCUCAUUUUUGUUCCUUCUCCUACUUUACCUUUGUGCUCCUUCUGUCCCUUCCUGCUCCUUGCUGCCCUUUCCAGCUCCUUGCUUACCAUUUCUGCUCCUUCCACUUUACCUUUGUGCUGCUUUACCUUCCAGCUCCUUGCUGCUUCUUGCUGACCCUUCCUGCUCCCUGCU